GACGAACGCUGGCGGCGUGCUUAACACAUGCAAGUCGAACGGAAAGGCCCUGCUUUUGUGGGGUGCUCGAGUGGCGAACGGGUGAGUAACACGUGAGUAACCUGCCCUUGACUUUGGGAUAACUUCAGGAAACUGGGGCUAAUACCGGAUAGGAGCUCCUGCUGCAUGGUGGGGGGUGGAAAGUUUCGGCUGGUGGGGAUGGACUCGCGGCUUAUCAGCUUGUUGGUUGGGGAGUGGCUUACCAAGGCUUUGAAGGGUAGCCGGCCUGAGAGGGUGACCGGCCACCUUGGGACUGCGAUACGGACCAGACUCCUACGGGAGGCAGCAGUGGGGAAUAUUGCCCAAUGGGCGGAAGCCUGAUGCAGAAACGCCGCGUGCGGGAUGACGGCCUUCGGGUUGUAAACAGCUUUAGCCUGUGACGAAGCGUGAGUGACGGUAAUGGGUAAAGAAGCACCGGCUAACUACGUG
rnacentral:rRNA from 1 species